GGUCAAGCUACAAAGGGCGCAUGGUGAAUGCCUUGGCAUCAGGAGCCGAUGAAGGACGUGAUAAGCUGCGAUAAGCUUCGGGUAGGCGCACAUAGCCAGAGAUCCGGAGAUUUCCGAAUGGGGAAACCCGCAUGAGAAACCUCAUGCAUCGUAAAGUGAAUACAUAGCUUUAUGAAGGAACACCUAGGGAACUGAAACAUCUAAGUACCUAGAGGAAGAGAAAGAAAAAUCGAUUUUCUUAGUAGCGGCGAGCGAAAAGGAAAGAGCCCAAACCAGAGAUUUAUCUCUGGGGUUGCGGACAGAACAUAACGUGAAAUUAUGAUUAACCGAACACAACUGGAAAGUUGGACCGUAGGAGGUAAUAGUCCUGUAAGUAAAAGUCAUAAUGAUCAGUUCUGCACCAGAGUACCACGAGACACGUGAAACCUUGUGGGAAGCAGGGAGGACCACCUCCCAAGGCUAAAUACUACCUGAUGACCGAUAGUGAAGCAGUACCGUGAGGGAAAGGUGAAAAGAACCCCGGGAGGGGAGUGAAAUAGAACCUGAAACCAUGUGCCUACAACCGAUCAAAGCACCUUAUGUGUGUGAUGAUGUGCUUUUUGUAGAACGAGCCAACGAGUUACGGUAUGUAGCGAGGUUAAGUACUUAAGGUACGGAGCCGAAGGGAAACCGAGUCUUAAUAGGGCGACUAGUUGCAUGCUGUAGACCCGAAACCGGGUGACCUAUCCAUGGCCAGGUUGAAGCGAGGGUAAAACCUCGUGGAGGACCGAACCACGUUGCUGUUGAAAAAGCAUGGGAUGAGCUGUGGAUAGCGGAGAAAUUCCAAUCGAACUCGGAUAUAGCUGGUUCUCCUCGAAAUAGCUUUAGGGCUAGCGUCGUGAAAUGUGAGUACUGGAGGUAGAGCACUGAAUAGGCUAGGGGGCAUAGCGCUUACCGAACCUUAUCAAACUCCGAAUGCCAGAUACUAUCAGCACGGCAGUCAGACUAUGAAAGAUAAGUUCCAUGGUCAAAAGGGAAACAGCCCAGAUCGUCAGCUAAGGUCCCAAAGUGUAAGUUAAGUGGAAAAGGAUGUGGGAUUUCUAAGACAACUAGGAUGUUGGCUUAGAAGCAGCCACUCAUUAAAAGAGUGCGUAAUAGCUCACUAGUCAAGAGAUCCUGCGCCGAAAAUGUCCGGGGCUCAAACUUACCACCGAAGCUACGGGUUCAUACUUUGUAUGAGCGGUAGAGGAGCGUCGUAAUCGGGCUGAAGUCGUACCGUAAGGAGCGGUGGACUGAUUACGAGUGAGAAUGUUGGCAUUAGUAGCGAGAUGUAGGUGAGAAUCCUACAGGCCGAAUAUCUAAGGUUUCCUGAGUAAAGUUUGUCUUCUCAGGGUUAGUCGGGACCUAAGGCGAGGCCGAGAGGCGUAGUCGAUGGACAAUUGGUUGAUAUUCCAAUACCACUAUAAUCGUUAUUAUCGAUGGUGUGACGGAGAAGGAUAGGAUGUGCCAGCUAUUGGAUGCUGGUCUAAGCGUUGAGGGAGUUAGAACAGGCAAAUCCGUUCUAACAAUCCUAGGGCGUGAUGGGGAAGGUUCUACGGAACCGAAGUAUCUGAUUUCAUGCUUCCAAGAAAAGCAUCUAGAAAGAGAAGUAGUGCCCGUACCGCAAACCGACACAGGUAGAUGAGGAGAGAAUCCUAAGGCCGACGGAAGAAUCACAGUUAAGGAACUAGGCAAAUUGACCCCGUAACUUCGGGAGAAGGGGUGCCUACCAAUUGGUAGGCCGCAGAGAAUAGGCACAAGCAACUGUUUAACAAAAACACAGGUCUCUGCUAAAGCGUAAGCUGAUGUAUAGGGGCUGACGCCUGCCCGGUGCUGGAAGGUUAAGGGGAACACUUAGCGCAAGCGAAGGUGUGAACUUAAGCCCCAGUAAACGGCGGCCGUAACUAUAACGGUCCUAAGGUAGCGAAAUUCCUUGUCAGGUAAGUUCUGACCCGCACGAAUGGCGUAAUGACUUGUGCACUGUCUCAACUGUGAAUCCGGCGAAGUUGUAGUGCGAGUGAAGAUGCUCGCUACCCGCGAUUGGACGGAAAGACCCCGUAGAGCUUUACUGUAGCUUAGCAUUGAAUUUCGGUAUUGUCUGUACAGGAUAGGUGGGAGACUGGGAAAUUAGGGCGUCAGCCUUAAUGGAGUCGUUGUUGGGAUACCACCCUGAUAGUAUUGAAGUUCUAACUGGAUGCCAUGAAACUGGUGACAGGACAUUGUUAGGUGGGCAGUUUGACUGGGGCGGUCGCCUCCUAAAAUGUAACGGAGGCGCCCAAAGGUUCCCUCAGAACGGUCGGAAAUCGUUCGUAGAGUGUAAAGGCAUAAGGGAGCCUGACUGCGAGACCUACAAGUCGAGCAGGGACGAAAGUCGGGCUUAGUGAUCCGGUGGUACCUCGUGGGAGGGCCAUCGCUCAACGGAUAAAAGCUACCUCGGGGAUAACAGGCUGAUCUCCCCCAAGAGUUCACAUCGACGGGGAGGUUUGGCACCUCGAUGUCGGCUCGUCGCAUCCUGGGGCUGAAGUAGGUCCCAAGGGUUGGGCUGUUCGCCCAUUAAAGCGGCACGCGAGCUGGGUUCAGAACGUCGUGAGACAGUUCGGUCCCUAUCCGUCGCGGGCGUAGGAAAUUUGAGAGGA
rnacentral:rRNA from 1 species